AGGAAGACCCUGGCCUCCAUCUUGAAAACGGAAAAUAAAAACAGCAGACCUAUGAAGGUCGAAGGGGAAGAAAAGCUGUAUCGAUUGUUGAGAUCUGGCGACUUGUUUAAAUUUCAUCAGCCUCACUUCUAUGAACUCUCAGAGCUGAUUACCAACUCCUACCACUGUUAACCCUCAUCCAGGAACAAGCUUAUGUCUUUAACAUUCUGAGUGGGCUUCAGCAUCCUUGCAUAUGUUCAAUUCUUAAAAACCUGUUGAAAUAAAAGAUCAGGAGACAUAGGAAGGAUGCCAGAAGAGAGCGUGGCCUCACGUGUACCAGCUCUCUGCUCUCCUUUGCCUUGGGACGUUCCAUCCCUGGAAGUUUCCCUGCCCACAUCUUUGUAGAGAGUCCAUUCUCCAAGCUUCAGUGUGUCAUCUGUGAGGACCGUGACCCACCUGGUACAUCGCCUCAGGGCAUUCAUUUCAGGCUCCUUCUAAAUGGCCAAGGUAAACCUCAGGUUCUCCUCCUGCCUUUUGCUAAGUAUAUGUCUUGAUGACAAGCCUUCUGCUGAUGAGCUGUGUUUCUGGACCGAUCAUGGUAGAAGUCAAUUAACGUGUCCCUCACUUGGGGUUUCUCAAGGGUAUGUUACCACAAAGACUCUCAUACACCCUUUUUUCUGAUCUCCCUUUCCCAUUCUACACUUGUGUGCUGAAUCUGUUUAGCAUUAUAGUUAGUACACUUACACGUCCACUAAAAAGUGGAAAUUAAUUUAAUUACCAAUGAAGUAACAAGAAUUUAGUUUGGCAAUGGAUUUCUUCUAUAAUCCAAAGCCAAGUUACCUUUCCACUCAUGGUUCUAAAGAUUACUCAACUGUGUAAAUCAUCUGUGCCACAUGGAAUAACUCAAAGUAAGUUCUUUCACCCCCUACUCAUUCUAAGUACACCAAAUAAAACUCUGCCUCUUUUGGAGAGUUCAUACACUGUUCAGAGAAGGCUGUGAGGUAUUUAUGAUAUCUAAUCCAGAAGGAACUCAAGUGAUGUUUGUUUUAGAAAUAGAAAGCAAAGAAUGAUUAUGCUGCAAAUAUUAUCAUGAAGACAUUUAUAAAUAUAUUACAAAUGCAUGUUUCCCGCCAAAUAAUUGACAAAACACUAUUACUUGCCUUAAAAAUAAUGCACAAUUAAUGAAUGCAAGAAAUUAAA
rnacentral:lncRNA from 1 species